CACCACCGGAAGUCUUCCCAGUGAAACCGAUGGGGAUAGGAGAUUGCAGAGCAAAGAUACCCGUGCGUCGCUUGUUGAUGUCGAAGGUGGAAUGCAUGACUCUAAUUCAGAGGUGGAGCUCUGGUCCUCUGGAGUGGCGUGAUCAUCAAAACAUUUCUGGACCAUGUUGACCAUCUGUUCAGCGGCCUGGGUACCAGAAGAAAUAGGGGAGGACCGCCCUGAAAUGGCUCUGCUGAUGGUCACAGAGAGGGCUGAGUUAAGCUGUUCGACCACCACCUUGAUAAGACCAACAGUCAGCUCAGGUGGGCAAGAGGACAGGAUCUUAUGAUCAGACAGUUGCUCCUGGACACUUUUGAUGAUUCUGUCCUCUGGCAUUCCCAGGUGGACUUUCACUGAGGUCUGGGAACUUUAAAACGAACAAGCAAAGCAUGAUAAAUCCUGUCUUAACUUGGCACAUUGGUCAAGCGUUGUAAUUUUAGUAUUCUAAAUAUCUACAUGUCAUUUUGAUCGCUUUUCAUGCUCAUUAAUUUGAAUAUGCUCAAAGGCUGAUACAUUACAUUUUGUACUACAUCAGAUAGAGUAAAAUGUAUUGGCUAACACUGGGAUAGAUGAUCUUGGUGAAAUCCAUACAUGAAAACCUUGAGGGGAACAUACCUCUUAGAAGAGGGUGUUAGGGACCUGAGAUGUUGAGCCCCUGUGCCGCCCUUAUACAUUUUCUUCGCCAGAUAUCUAACUUCCUGGAUGAGCUCCAGUCUUUCCUGAUCAAAGGCAGCAAAGGAUCUUGCACUGCCACCCCUCUUGGGUGAGUCAGUAUCGUCGUCAGCAAAGUCCUUCACCCCCAGUACGCGUGCCAGGGCUGGCAGCAGGAUCUGCAGGGUGGUCUGUGUGAUGAAGGUUACAAUUGUCUUGCACAAUUUGGCAAGCUGUUCCUUCGUCAUCUGUUUUGAACAAAUAGAACAAAAACUGUAUUUUCAAUGGAACUGUGAUGUAAAGUAUUCUAGAUCGAACAGAAUGCAUUUGAUCAACAUUGUUAUUCUUGUCUGUGACUGAAUUCAAAGUUUGAUGAAGUCUGACAGAGAAAUUAACAUGAAUAACAGAAUAAAACUUGAUGGCUAA